UCCUUCUGUGUGCGACUUUCUUCUCUGUUCGAAGAAAGCCUAACAAAAAAAUUCACUUCACCAGCCGGCAGCCACUGACUGAUUUAGAUCUACACCCUCACUCCGUUCGUCGCCGACGCCGUUGCUCGCCGCAUCUGUGAGACUCCAUCGCCAUUGCCAUCGCCAUCGCCUUAACAAGUCCCAAGUCCCAAGUCCCAGGUCCCAAAUCGAAGCUGCUCUCUGCCUCUCCGGCCUCCGCCAGUCCGCCGCGCUCUACGUCUCCUGUCGGCUGUGUCCUGCCGUGCUGGUUCAUCGUUGCCGAGUGUCGAAGACGAAGCACCAAGAUCUCACUAGUUCAUUGCUGGUUCAUCACUGCUCAUCUCUGGCUCACUUAGUCGGGCAGAAUCUUUGUCAAGAAAAUGCAAAGUGGCACUAGACAUUCAACGAGUUGCUCAAGAUUAGAAGGCAAUGUCGAAGGAGUUGGUAUGGCAAUUAGUCCUCCCGAGGUAUCUUCUAUCCUGCGAUCAUCUGCUCAUGAUUCAACUACUCCAUUCACGUUGGAUACCCCUGUUUUCAUAAGUAAUGAUACAACAACAGCUGGAGUUCAAGUAUUUGCUCUUCAAAUAUUUUUCUGACAUGUUCUUGUUUAAAGCAGCUUUCUUUAGUUAGUAAUUAGUGAUAUUUGUGGGGAAAAGGAAUUUCUGGAUAGAUCUUGGCAUUGGUUUCUGAAUUGAGCUUGUGGUAGUUGGGAUAUUGUGGCUGUUUGAGAUAAUUGUUUGUCUCUCAAUUUGGUGGCUCAGCUCAUCAAUCAUCAUUAUCUUAAUUCCUUGCAGAACAUUUAUCUUUUGCUUUAAAAUGAUUUUAUGAGCUUCGCAUUUGUCCA